ACGCUGGCGGCAGGCCUAACACAUGCAAGUCGAGCGGUAGCACAGGAGAGCUUGCUCUCUGGGUGACGAGCGGCGGACGGGUGAGUAAUGUCUGGGAAACUGCCUGAUGGAGGGGGAUAACUACUGGAAACGGUAGCUAAUACCGCAUGACCUCGCAAGAGCAAAGUGGGGGACCUUCGGGCCUCACGCCAUCGGAUGUGCCCAGAUGGGAUUAGCUAGUAGGUGGGGUAAUGGCUCACCUAGGCGACGAUCCCUAGCUGGUCUGAGAGGAUGACCAGCCACACUGGAACUGAGACACGGUCCAGACUCCUACGGGAGGCAGCAGUGGGGAAUAUUGCACAAUGGGCGCAAGCCUGAUGCAGCCAUGCCGCGUGUGUGAAGAAGGCCUUAGGGUUGUAAAGCACUUUCAGCGAGGAGGAAGGCGUUGUAGUUAAUAGCUGCAACGAUUGACGUUACUCGCAGAAGAAGCACCGGCUAACUCCGUGCCAGCAGCCGCGGUAAUACGGAGGGUGCAAGCGUUAAUCGGAAUUACUGGGCGUAAAGCGCACGCAGGCGGUUUGUUAAGUCAGAUGUGAAAUCCCCGAGCUUAACUUGGGAACUGCAUUUGAAACUGGCAAGCUAGAGUCUUGUAGAGGGGGGUAGAAUUCCAGGUGUAGCGGUGAAAUGCGUAGAGAUCUGGAGGAAUACCGGUGGCGAAGGCGGCCCCCUGGACAAAGACUGACGCUCAGGUGCGAAAGCGUGGGGAGCAAAC
rnacentral:rRNA from 1 species